ensembl:lncRNA
GCGCUACAUGCAUUUCAUACACACACACACACACACACACACACACACACACACACACAAAGAGAGAGAGAGAACACUGCUUCAUAAAACACAGGAUGGCGCACAAUGAAUAUGCAGCAGCAUGGUCUCCUCAGGCUAAGAAAAAGGUGUGAACAAGGUUCAAAAGAGACUCUCUGUGAUGUCCAGGUUCAUGGAACACUCCUGACCAUCCAUUACCACAAGGUUUAGAAGUUUAUUUAAAGCGUCUGAGCGGUCGAACUCUGAAUUUACAAGUGAGAUUUUUACUUUGAGACCAUUUUCUACACUGCGAUCAUCUCCAGUACCGAGUCAUCUCUACGAUCAACUCCAGAACCGAGUCAUCUCUACGAUCAACUCCAGUACCGAGUCAUCUCCACGAUCAUCUCCAGAACCGAGUCGUCUCUACGAUCAAAUCCAGUACCGAGUCAUCUCCACGAUCAACUCCAGAACCGAGUCAGCACUACACUCAUCCCUGCACCACUUGGGUCUUCUCAGCCAUGAUCUUUAGGAUGGACGAAGCGCCGCAGCCCCAGGAGGACGAGCCUGAGACUGGAGUGAGCGGACUGCCUGACCUGCCUGUCAGCAACGAAACAUGGAGGGAGGAAACUGUCGAGGAUGUGCACCAGGGUAGGAGGAGACGGAGGGAGCAGGUUAGUGAUGAAGAGGACAACACUGAAGAGGCCCCUCAUAGAAGAAGGCAACAUGAGGAGCAGGAAGAGGAUGACGAUGACGUGUUUGAGCUCAAUAAUUUGGAGAGUAGCUCACCCCCUUUGUGGAACUCAUUCCCAGUUUUGGAGUGGAUUCACAACAUACGAGUGCGUUGCAGCAAUGAGCUAUUCCGGGAGAGGAGACGGAGGGAGCAAGUGAGUGAUGAAGAGGACAACAUUAAAGAGGCCCCUCCUAGUAGAAGACGGCGUGUAGAGCAAGACUAUGAUGAACAUGAGGAUGAUGACCAUGCGGAUGAUGACCAUGAGGAUGGACCCAGCUGGAAUUGUUUCCAUUCCUGUUCCUAGAAUAAUUUUUCUAGUUAUUAUUAACUAUUAGUAUGGUACUAGCUUUGUAGCUACCAUGAGAUAAGGUCCAGUAUUCAGAUUUUUUUUAAAUCUUUGGAAAAUAUUUCACCUCAAGGUUGUAACAUUAGUCUUUUUUUUUUUUCUUUUUUUUUUUUUCUUUUUUUUUUAAAUCUGGUAUCACCCUGAUACCUUAUCUUAUGUUCUGUCUACAUGAGGUCAUUGUUCCCUUCCUUCUUCUUGUCUUAUGGAUCUUGGACCUCAAGUACCACUAGGAGCUACACUGACCAGCCAUAACAUUUAACCACUGACAGGUGAAGUACCCUGUCGCCGGUUCACUUGUUGUCCUUCCAUGUAUACAGUUGUUAACCACUGUAUACAGGGAGCACCUCACAAGACCUGCUGUUUUGGAGAUGCUCUGACCCAGUCAUCUAGCCAUCACAAUUUGGCCCUUGUCAAAGUCACUUGCCCAUUUUUCCUGCUUCCAACACAUCAACUUGCUGUCUAAUAUAUCCCACCUCUUGACAGGUGCCAUUGUAAUGAGAUAUUCAAUGUUAUUCACUUCAUGUUAGUCUGUAUGUUUGUAUACACCUGAUUUCAAAACAUAAUGGUGAAAUAUAUCAAAUUUGUAAUGUCAUAAAUUCUAUAAAAAUAUCAACUGCUACAUAGGUUAAAUGUAUCAAUUGCUAUAAAGGCUAAAGACUUGCAUCAUAUCUGGUUAAAUGUAUAGGCUUUGUACAGUAGGAUUUGUAUUGUGUAUUUAGAAUAUAUGCAUUAUUAUAAUGUAUAGUUAUCAAAUUUACAUUAAUUGUGUAGGCUAGAUAUUAGUGCUAAA